GUUAAACCCUGGUUCCCAUACAAUCACCAAAGUUAAGCAACAUCAAGCCUGGUCAGUACCUAGAUGUGUGGCCAUUUUGGAAUACCAUGUGCUGUAAG